CAGCAGCCACGGUAAUACAGAGGGUGCAAGCGUUAAUCGGAAUUACUGGGCGUAAAGCGCGCGUAGGUGGUUUGUUAAGUUGGAUGUGAAAUCCCCGGGCUCAACCUGGGAACUGCAUCCAAAACUGGCAAGCUAGAGUAUGGUAGAGGGUGGUGGAAUUUCCUGUGUAGCGGUGAAAUGCGUAGAUAUAGGAAGGAACACCAGUGGCGAAGGCGACCACCUGGACUGAUACUGACACUGAGGUGCGAAAGCGUGGGGAGCAAACAGGAUUAGAUACCCCAGUAGUCCCUGUCUCUUAUAC
rnacentral:rRNA from 1 species